rnacentral:rRNA from 1 species
GACGAAUUUUGGCGGCGUGCUUAACACAUGCAAGUCGAACGGAAAGGCCCUGCUUUUGUGGGGUGCUCGAGUGGCGAACGGGUGAGUAACACGUGAGUAACCUGCCCUUGACUUUGGGAUAACUUCAGGAAACUGGGGCUAAUACCGGAUAGGAGCUCCUGCUGCAUGGUGGGGGUUGGAAAGUUUCGGCGGUUGGGGAUGGACUCGCGGCUUAUCAGCUUGUUGGUGGGGUAGUGGCUUACCAAGGCUUUGACGGGUAGCCGGCCUGAGAGGGUGACCGGCCACAUUGGGACUGAGAUACGGCCCAGACUCCUACGGGAGGCAGCAGUGGGGAAUAUUGCACAAUGGGCGGAAGCCUGAUGCAGCAACGCCGCGUGCGGGAUGACGGCCUUCGGGUUGUAAACCGCUUUCGCCUGUGACGAAGCGUGAGUGACGGUAAUGGGUAAAGAAGCACCGGCUAACUACGUGCCAGCAGCCGCGGUGAUACGUAAGGUGCGAGCGUUGUCCGGAUUUAUUGGGCGUAAAGGGCUCGUAGGUGGUUGAUCGCGUCGGAAGUGUAAUCUUGGGGCUUAACCCUGAGCGUGCUUUCUAAACGGGUUGACUUGAGGAAGGUAGGGGAGAAUGGAAUUCCUGGUGGAGCGGUGGAAUGCGCAGAUAUCAGGAGGAACACCAGUGGCGAAGGCGGUUCUCUGGGGCCUUUCCUGACGCUGAGGAGCGAAAGCGUGGGGAGCGAACAGGCUUAGAUACCCUGGUAGUCCACGCUGUAAACGGUGGGUACUAGGUGUGGGGUCCAUUCCACGGGUUCCGUGCCGUAGCUAACGCUUUAAGUACCCCGCCUGGGGAGUACGGCCGCAAGGCUAAAACUCAAAGGAAUUGACGGGGCCCCGCACAAGCGGCGGAGCAUGCGGAUUAAUUCGAUGCAACGCGUAGAACCUUACCUGGGUUUGACAUGGAUCGGGAGUGCUCAGAGAUGGGUGUGCCUCUUUUGGGGUCGGUUCACAGGUGGUGCAUGCCUGUCGUCAGCUCGUGUCGUGAGAUGUUGGGUUAAGUCCCGCAACGAGCGCAACCCUUGUUCACUGUUGCCAGCACGUUAUGGUGGGGACUCAGUGGAGACCGCCGGGGUCAACUCGGAGGAAGGUGGGGAUGACGUCAAGUCAUCAUGCCCCUUAUGUCCAGGGCUUCACGCAUGCUACAAUGGCUGGUACAGAGAGUGGCGAGCCUGUGAGGGUGAGCGAAUCUCGGAAAGCCGGUCUCAGUUCGGAUUGGGGUCUGCAACUCGACCUCAUGAAGUCGGAGUCGCUAGUAAUCGCAGAUCAGCAACGCUGCGGUGAAUACGUUCCCGGGGC